rnacentral:rRNA from 1 species
CUAUGGCCACACCACCCUGAACACGCCCGAUCUUGUCUGAUCUCAGAAGCUAAGCAGGGUCGGGUCUGGUUUGUACUGGGGCGCCUGGGUGGCUCAGUCGGUUAAGC